rnacentral:rRNA from 1 species
AUAGUUUGAUCCUGGCUCAGAUUGAACGCUGGCGGCAUGCCUUACACAUGCAAGUCUAACGGUAACAAGUCUUCUUGAUGCUGACGAGUGGCUACACGGGUGAGUACAUACAUCAACAACUUGCCCGAUCCGAUGGGGGAUAACGGUAGCGAAAGCUUUGCUAUAUACCGCAUACGAUCUACGGAUGAAAGCACGGGACCGCUAGGCCUUGCGCGGACUGAGCGGCCGAUGGGGAUUAUGUAGUUGGCGGGAUAAAACCUUACCAAGCCGACGAUCUGUAUCUGGUCUGACAGGACGACCACCCACACUGGGACUGACACACCGCCCACACUCCUACCGGACGUACCAUUGGGGAAUUUUGCGACAAUGGGCGAAAGCCUGAUCCACCCUUGCCCCGUGCAUGAUGAAAGCCUUCCGAUUGUAAACUGCUUUUGUACUCAACGAAAAGCCUCUUUCUAAUAAAGAUAGGUCAUGACGGUACCGCUACGAAUAAGCACCAGCGUAACUACGUCGCCAUCACCCGCGAGUAAUACGUACGGUGCGAGCGUAAAUCUGAAUUACUGUGCGUAAACCGUGCGCACGCUGUGAUGCUAGACAGAUGUGAUAUCCCCGAGCUCAACCAGUGAACUGCAUUUGUGACUGCAUCACUUGAGUGCGGCAGAGGGGGAUGGAAUUCUGAGUGUAGCAGUGUAGUGCGUAGAUAUGCGGAGGAACUCCGAUGGAGAAGGCAAUUCGUUGGGCAUGCACAGACGCUCAUGCACGACAGCGUGCGGAGCAAGCUGGAUUAGAUACGAUGGUAGUGCACGCCCUAAACUGAUGUCAAGUGGAUGGUGGGUCUUCAAUGACUCAGUAACGAAGGUAACGACAGAAGUGGACAGGAUGGAGAGUACGGCCGCAAGGUUGAAACUCAAAGGAAUUGACGUGGAGCUGCACAAGCUGUGGAUGAUGUGGUGAUAAUUCGAUGCAUCGUGAAAAACGUUACCCACAUUAGACAUGUACGGAAUCGUUUAGAGAUAGAGGAGUGCUCGAAAGAGAACCGUAACACAGGUGAUGCAUGGUCGUGGUCAGUUCGUGUCGUGAGAUGAUGGGUUAAGUCCCGCAACGAGCGCAACCCUUGCCAUUAGUUGCUACGAAAGGGCACUGUAAUGGGACUGCCGGUGACAAACAGGAGGAAGGUGGGGAAGACGUCAAGUCCUCAUGGCCGUGAUAGGUGGGGCUACACAAGUCAUACAACGGGUGGUACAGAGGGUUGCCAACCCGCGAGGGGGAGCCAAUCCCAUAAAGCCAGUUGUAGUCCGGAUCGCAGUAUGCAAGUCGAUUGAGUGAAGUCGGAAUCGUUAGUAAUCGCGGAUCAGAAUGUGGCGGUGAAUACGUUCCCCGGUAUUGUACACACCGCCCGUCACACCAUGGGAGCGGGUUCUGCCAGAAGUAGGUAGCCUAACAGUAAGGAGGGCGCUUACCAGGUCAGGGUUAGUGACUGGGGUGAAGUGGUAACAAGGUAACC